rnacentral:rRNA from 1 species
UACGUAGGGCGCAAGCGUUAUCCGGAAUUAUUGGGCGUAAAGAGCUCGUAGGCGGUUUGUCGCGCUUGCCGUGAAAGUCCGGGGCUCAACUCCGGAUCUGCGGUGGGUACGGGCAGACUAGAGUGAUGUAGGGGAGACUGGAAUUCCUGGUGUAGCGGUGAAAUGCGCAGAUAUCAGGAGGAACACCAACGGCGAAGGCAGCACUCUGGGCCGGUACUGACGCUGAGGAGCGAAAGCGUGGGGAGCAAACAGG